UCAGUUUGGCUGCGGUCUAGAAUGACCAGCUUCCUCCACGCUCCGCACCCUUCACUGAUGUCAACCCAGUGAAACAGAACCAAGACAGCCUGCGCUUUGCUAUCUUAGGAUACCUAUUCAUGCCCUUGGGUUCCAGGAUACACAGAUGGGAACAGCCUACGGACAAGGAGAAACAGACUUCGGAAGUUCCCGUUAUAACCAGCAGGGGGAGCCUCGAACAACAGAGCCUGGAAGCCUACAAAAGAUUGAAUCCGGGUCCAGAAUCACCCAGAAGACAAAUCUCCAGGCGUGUCUAUGAAGGAGUUUCUAAAUCGAGUCAAUUGAGAGUGUUGGCCAGUCAACUUCCUGCUGCGUUCUGAUCAAGAUGUAGCACUCUCAGCUCCAGCACCACAUCUGCCUG